UCUCCUUCACCAGGUUCUCCUUCUCAUCCCUGACACCCCUGUGCUCUCCUUCACCAGGUUCUCCUUCACCAGGUUCUCCUUCUCUCCCUGACACCCCUGUGCUCUCCUUCACCAGGUUCUCCUUCACCAGGGUUCUCCUUCACCAGGUUCUCCUUCACCAGGUUCUCCUUCUCAUCCCUGACACCCCUGUGCUCUCCUUCACCAGGUUCUCCUUCACCAGGCUCUCCCUCAUCCCUGACAGCCCUGUGCUCUCCUUCACCAGGUUCUCCUUCUCAUCCCUGACACCCCUGUGCUCUCCUUCACCAGGCUCUCCUUCACCAGGUUCUCCUUCCCAUCCUUCUCUGUUUCAGAAGUGUGUAAAGCCCUGAAAUAAAUUGAUAGAACAGAAUCCCCUGUCCCUGAUGAACUAGACCCCUGCUUCCUACACCUGCUGCUGACAUCAUUGCUCCACCCUAUAUUUCUAACCUCACGCUUGAUGUUCAGGAAAUCCCCAAGUUAUGGAAAUCUGCUUUUGUACUGCCUCUCCUGAAAGGUGGAGAUCCUUCGCUACUUGACAACUAUCGUCCCAAAUCAAAACCGUCUGUUCUGUCAAAGGUCCUGGAGUCCUUAGUUAGUAGGUCCUGGAGUCCUUAGUUAGUAGGUCCUGGAGUCCUUAGUUAGUAGGUCCUGGAGUCCUUAGUUAGUAGGUCCUGGAGUCCUUAGUU
ensembl:lncRNA